rnacentral:rRNA from 1 species
CAAUAGCGUAUAUUAAAGUUGUUGCGGUUAAAAAGCUCGUAGUUGGAUUUCUGGCUUGGACGACCGGUCCGUGCUAUGCAUGAGUAUCUGGUUCGGCCUAGCCAUCUUGCUAGAGAACGCGUGCGUACUUCACUGUAUGUCGUGGUAUCUAGCCUUUUACUUUGAGGAAAUGAGAGUGUUCCAAGCAGGCAAUCGCCGUGAAUAUGAUAGCAUGGAAUAAUAGCACAGGACUCUUGGUUCAAUGCUGUUGGUUGAUUGAACUAGAGUAAUCAUAAUAAGGAUAGUUGGGGGUAUUCGUAUUUAACUGUCAGAGGUGAAAUUCUUGGAUUUUUUAAAGACGAACAAUUGCGAAGGCAUCUACCCAGGAUGUUUUUGUUGA